GGUCUUUGUCUCUUGCUGGCGCUGGCACAGGAACUUGGGAUCCGUCUCCUCUUUCGCCUCCUCCGCUUUGGGAGCCCCGGGCUACUCUUUCACAGCCCCUGUUGCCCUGUGAUCUGUAGGUCCUUGGGGACGCACAGUUAAGAUGACAGGACAUCCUGGAAGCUGGGAAAUGAUAUGUAUUCAUUUCCUACCACCGUAGUGGAAGAGAGAUUUUCCCUAUCUUUACAACUGAUAGCAUUUCCAACAGUAAGCUGUGAGAUUCUGCUUGAAAUCACCUCUCAAACAAAUAAAAAACAGACCUGGGAGACAUGCUACACUCAUUCUGCUGAGGAAAUAGGCAUCAUAGCUGGGAAACGGAUUCACAAGACCCAGGCUGUUCCCUACAUAUGUUUCCUCCUCCGACAUCAGUUCAUCAGUCAAUCAAGCCAUGUGAGAGUGGAGGCCUUGUAUUCCCUAUUAUUCUUGGGCACUCUACUCCAAGUAGGAAAAGGCCAGGAGGUCCUGUUAAAGGAUGCACUCAGAGCCCGGGCUCCCUAACAUAUGAGAGUGCUAACCAGCAGGUGUAGACUUUUCAGGAGUGAAGAAUGAGGCAGGCAUUCCAAACCUGGACCUUCAUCACCUUUUGUUUCAUCUCAAGACAAUUCUGAGGGACUGUUUUGGAGCGUGUCUGGAAGGUGAACCUUGAAGAAGAGUGUGGGCUUUGAUGUGACUCAGUUGAGAUCUUUCAUGGGGAGGCAGGAAUUCAAUGCCCAGAAUCUGGGCUGGUGUCUUUGAGGUCAGUAGGUUGCGUCUUUGUAUCCAAGUCCAUUGUUACUAGGUUGGAGGCUGGAGAUUCUAAAUGGCUUCCAGACCAUCUCUCUGAUUCUCUUUGGGAGAUGGGGUCUGAAAGACAAUGUCAGUAGUUUUGGGAAAUUCUAGAAAGUGUGCUUGGAAACGUGGGAAGAGCUCUUGCCUAGUGCCUAAAUGCUCCAUUUGCAGCUCUAGCCAAGUAGAUACUUGGUAGGUAUAGAGCCGGGUUUGCGUUUAUAUCAGCAAAACCUAUGUCAGAGUUGAAGAAGUAGUCAGGAAAAAGCGUCUUGGUCGCAGGCCGGGGAACAUCUUAAAAGCAAACUUCUAGCCUGCUGACUCUUGGCAAUGAGUGUUGGAUCCUGGCUAAAGUGCCUUGAAUGCAGCAUGAGGCCAAUCCAUGAAUCCAACUUCUCAUGGAGAAAUGUUAAUAUUUUUUCAGUUUGAAUCAAUCAGGGUGAAACUACCAUGCUAUUGGUUUGCUUACUUUUUAUUAUUUCAUGUAAAAUCUAAGACAAAAUACAUUAAAUGCUUAUUGACAUAUGUAUUUAUUCUUCACCAGGCUGAUAAUAUCUGCCUAAUUUUAAACUUUCUUCCAUUUUGUAGGUUUCAACUUAUUCUAUUGUAAGAUACUGUUAAAUCUAAUAGAGGCAUUGUCACUUUUACGUAUAAUUUUAUUUUAUUUCAUAUAUUUCCUAUUGGCUUUUUACAUUUAAAUUAUGGAGCACUUCAUCAUAUAAAAAACUUCAAUUAUAUUUAAACAGUAAGUCUUUGGAUUUUUUUGCCUUGUAAUUUCCAUAUUACAUAAUAAUGAGAUAAACAUUAAUGUUUUCAGGGUACUUUAAAUUUUAGAUAAUUACUCAUUGUAUUCAUGUGAAAUUUGUUUUUACUGCAUGUGUGGGUUGGAGGACUGUUUUCACUUCUGAUUCAUCUUUACUCUUAUCUCAUCAGAGCUCAUACCUCUUGUAGUUGGGGGAUUGCAGUUUAUAAUUCCAAUAAAUGGGGCAAAUUCAAUAAUAACAUAAUACAAAUGAGUUUGAAUGCAGGACAGGUCUUCAAAGCAUACACAACAUGGGCCUACAUAUGUACAACAAUAAUAAUUUAUAAGUUACUGUUUGGAUGGAAAGUAAAAGUACAGAAAAUUUGUUAAAGGAAAUUAAAAUGGAGAUCAUGUCUCAAUAAUCUCUGAGCAGACAAAAUUAGUUAGGUCUCAUAAGUGAUCUCAACCUCGCUUGAUUUGCAAAUACAAACAAAACUUAAAUUAUUUCUUGUAGCUGCAUAUUGAAAAAAGAGAAAUGAAGCUCAACCAGUCAGAAGUAGCCAACAACCUUAUAUAAAUAGAAACUGUCCAACAAGGUAAACAGACAAACAAAAAACAAUAAAAAAAGUUGUGCUACCACCAAAUGAUUUCUUUGUUUCUACAUUUUUCAAAUAAAUACUUGCUUCUUACACUGUCAAUGAAGCACUCAAUAUCUUUCCGUCUGAUAUUUUAUAAUUUAUCAAUUGCUCUUACUCAAAUAAACACUUUGCAAUUUCA
rnacentral:lncRNA from 1 species